UAUGUUUUUGAUAGUCUCAUUUGUUUUCAUUGACUCAAGUUUUUGCCAAAUCAUUAAAAAAAGAUUACGACACUCCCGAUUCCCAGGACGUCUCCGUUCCAAGUACUAAGGAAGCCCAGCGUUGCUUAACUUGCCAGAUCGGACGGGAUGGCGUGCUUUCAACGCGGUAUGGUCGUAAUCAAUGGGUUGUCAAUUUCUUAAUAUUUAAAACAAAUUUCGCUGAGGCAAAGUGGGCGUGGCUUUUCGAUGUUCGCUGUUCGCGGGAAUGGUUUAAAGGAAAACUCAAAUUGGGCUAAUCUAGAAACUCGUGGAGAGAAAUAAUAGGAUUAAAAAAUUUUUUGAAAAAUUUAAAGUUUAUUAUUAUAAUAAGCUUUGUUUUUUGAAGAAUAAAGUUUAUUGUUAUUUAUUUUUUAAAACUUUUAAAGUUUAUAAAAUUAAACUUAUAACAAUAAACUUCUAACAAUCCUUUAUUGACUCUCGCUGCAAAAUUAAUUUGGCUUCUGGCAAUUGUCAGGAAUUUAGCCGAUUAUAACUUUUGUGAAUUUAUAAUUAUAAUUAAUUAUUGACAUUCUUUUGCAAAGGAUAUUUAGUAUGUUAUCAGCUGUCAUUAAUUUUUAAUUUUCGACUUUUAUUUCGGGAUUUUGAAUUCUAAAAUUAUCAAUGUAAUCAUUAUUAAUGACAGCUUAAUUACCAGCAGUCUCGGUAAUUCAAGCUUUGCUAAAUACCUAAAUAAAAGAUAUCUGGUUGAUCCUGCCUGAACUGAUGUGUUUAUUUCAAAGAUUAAGCCAUGCAUGUAUAAGUUUAAUCGUUUAUCGAGAAACCGCAAACGGCUCAUUAGAACCUACAGCGAAAGCAUUUGCCAAGAAUGUUUUUAUUAAUCAAGAACGAAAGCAUUGCGAAAGCAUUUGCCAAGAAUGUUUUUAUUAAUCAAGAACGAAAGUCAGAGGUUCGAAGGCGAUCAGAUACCGCCCUAGUUCUGACCGUAAACGAUGCCAACUAGCGAUCCGCCGAUGGAAAUUAUAUUGCCUUGGUGGGGAGCUUCCCGGAAACGAAAGUCUUCCGGUUCCGGGGAAGUAUGGUUGCAAAGCUGAAACUUAAAGGAGUUGACGGAAGGGCACCACCAGGAGUGGAGCCUGCGGCUUAAUUUGACUCAACACGGGGAAACUCACCGGCCCGGACACUGUGAGGAUUGACAGAUUGAUAGCUUUUUCAUGAUUCAGUGGAUGGUGGUGCAUGGCCGUUCUUAGUUCGUGGAGUGAUUUGUCUGGUUUAUUCCGAUAACGAGCGAGACUCUAACCUACUAAAUAGUUGGUACAUACUCUUAGUGUAUACAGCUUCUUAGAGGGAUUUGCGGCGUUCAGCCGAAAGAAAUUGAGCAAUAACAGGUCUGUGAUGCCCUUAGAUGUCCGGGGCUGCACGCGCGCUACACUGGCAAAAUCAACGUGCUUGUCCUACCCUGAAAGGGGCGGGUAAACCAUUGAAAAUUUGCCGUGAUUGGGAUCGGAAAUUGCAAUUAUUUUCCGUGAACGAGGAAUUCCAAGUAAGUGCGAGUCAUCAGCUCGCGUUGAUUACGUCCCUGCCUUUGUACACACCGCCCGUCGCUGCCCGGGACUGAGCCAUUUCGAGAAAUUUGGGGACCGUUGAUUUAAUUUUUCUAAAUUACUUUGAUGGAAACCAAUUUAAUCGCAGUGGCUUGAACCGGGCAAAAGUCGUAACAAGGUAGCUGUAGGUGAACCUGCUGCUG
rnacentral:rRNA from 1 species